rnacentral:rRNA from 1 species
GACGAACGCUGGCGGCGUGCUUAACACAUGCAAGUCGAACGGAAAGGCCCUGCUUUUGUGGGGUGCUCGAGUGGCGAACGGGUGAGUAAAACGUGAGUAACCUGCCCUUGACUUUGGGAUAACUUCAGGAAACUGGGGCUAAUACCGGAUAGGAGCUCCUGCUGCAUGGUGGGGGUUGGAAAGUUUCGGCGGUUGGGGAUGGACUGGCGGCUUAUCAGCUUGUUGGUGGGGUAGGGGCUUACCAAGGCUUUGACGGGUAGCCGGCCUGAGAGGGUGACCGGCCACAUUGGGACUGAGAUACGGCCCAGACGCCUACGGGAGGCAGCAGUGGGGAAUAUUGCACAAUGGGCGGAAGCCUGAUGCAGCAACGCCGCGUGCGGGAUGACGGCCUUCGGGUUGUAAACCGCUUUCGCCUGUGACGAAGCGUGAGUGACGGUAAUGGGUAAAGAAGCACCGGCUAACUACGUG